rnacentral:rRNA from 1 species
UACAGAGGUCUCAAGCGUUUGUUCGGAUUCAUUGGGCGUAAAGGGUGCGUAGGCGGCGCGGUAAGUCGGGUGUGAAAUCUCGGAGCUUAACUCCGAAACUGCAUUCGAUACUGCCGUGCUUGAGGACUGGAGAGGAGACUGGAAUUUACGGUGUAGCGGUGAAAUGCGUAGAUAUCGUAAGGAAGACCAGUGGCGAAGGCGGGUCUCUGGACAGUUCCUGACGCUGGAGGCACGAAGGCCAGGGGAGCAAAACGGG